GCCUCCUUCAAUUCUCCUCUGCUCCAAUGCUUGAACAGUCGCCGUCUGCUCAACCUGCCGUUGCCGUCUCCCACUCCUCCACUACCAGACAACAAAGCUCCAGCCGGCUGUCCAGGAUGGUCGCCGUCUCUCACUUCAUUACGGUCGCUACCUCUCCCUUCCACUUUAGUGAAACAAAUCUCAGCGAAACCAUCUCCAGAUCUCCGAUGCCCGCCAUCUCCUCCUCGCCGACGCUCGCCACUCUUCCGUGACCUACAGUAAAAGUCACCAUGGAUGCCGCCAUUGAUGGAUAUAGCUGCCAUUGACGACGCCGCCGACUCCACACGCCACGGCCGACGCCACCGUCGUAUUCAAGAGACCCUUCUAUGAUGAUUUUAUGAAGUUUUGCUUUGGGAGAUUCAAUGUGGCAAUCUGAUCUUCUAGAUCCAAGUACUCAACUUUGCUUUUGAUGCAGUCAAUAAAGAGAUUAAAGAAAGUAGGAUUAGGGCCACAUCAAAGGUUUGAUUUUCCAUUUGCUUAAUCAAUUUUUAACUAAAGAACAUAAAACAGCUAAUUUGCUACUGAAUAAUCCACGAGUUGUCUUUGGCUAUUAUGGUAUGCAACCCCGGUUUGAUUUUCUCUUUAAAAGAGUGCAUUAUUUGCAGUUUCCUGUACUAGGUGGAAUGAUGCAGUUCUCAAGAGAUUGGUUAGUAUGCAACUGAUGGUUGGCAACUCGGUGACUGUAUUUUUCCAUUCUGCUUUCUUUAUUGACUUGUUACUUUUUUUCAGCACCUCUAAGUAUUAGUUCAGUGAUAUAUGUGUUUUACCACUCAUUUAGUUAGCUUUCUAGAUGUAUAUAUGUUUUUGUUGUUGUGAAACUAUCCUAUUAAAAUCGUUUUGCUUAUCCUUGAAUGCUAUUCAACUAGUAAGACUAUUAACUAUAGAGUUUUUGAACUUCUAGCAUAGUUUCAUUCCAGUGCCAGUGAACACCUUGUAUUCAAAAGGUGUUGAUGCCAUAUGUAAUGCCUUCUGGAGUAGUUUUCACAAAAACCCUAUUCUUUUAUUCUUGUUUACUUGCAAAGCCAAGGAAAGCUAUAGAAUACUCCUCUCCUCCCAUUAUAUUUUUAAAGUUUAAAUGGUUUGUUUAAAAGAUCUUUUAUCUAACUGCUGUAGACUUGACCUGUAAGUAUUCUUUAUAUAUUUUACUUAUAUUCAUAAAGAUGAGUCAAAAUAAAAAAACUGUCAUUACUUUGUUUUAUUUUGGUUGCGGUUCCACAGGUACAUGCAACAGAUUGAAGUGUUGGCAUCAUCUUCCUUUGGUUUCCUUAAUUGACCAGAUUGGAAGAGAUAGUUGGGCAAAGCUAUUGGCAAUUGAUCAUGUAGAACUACUUUAUAACCAUUUAAGUUUUAUAUUUUAUUUGAACUCUAAAUUUAUGAAGGUUUUAUAAUUUAUGUAUGGAUAACUUUUGAAUUUUUAUUCGUGAGGACUAUUAUAUUGUUGUUUAGACUUCAAUUGACUAUUAUUAGUUACUAAAUGUUGAUCAAUGAUGAUGUAUUAUUAGGUGAACUUAAUGUGAA